rnacentral:rRNA from 1 species
UAAAAUUUUGUGGCAGACGGGUGAGUAAUGCAUAGGAAUCUACCUAGUAGUAUGGGAUAGCCACUAGAAAUGGUGGGUAAUACUGUAUAAUCCCUGCGGGGGAAAGAUUUAUCGCUAUUAGAUGAGCCUAUGUUAGAUUAGCUAGUUGGUAGGGUAAAGGCCUACCAAGGCAGUGAUCUAUAGCUGGUCUGAGAGGAUGAUCAGCCACACUGGAACUGAGAUACGGUCCAGACUCCUACGGGAGGCAGCAGUGGGGAAUAUUGGGCAAUGGGCGCAAGCCUGAUCCAGCUAUGCCGCGUGAGUGAGGAAGGCCUUAGGGUUGUAAAACUCUUUCAGUAGGGAAGAUAAUGACGGUACC